AGUGAACGCUGGCGGUAUGCCUAACACAUGCAAGUCGCACGGGAGCACAGUAAGAUCUUCCUCGUACGGGUGGCGAUUGGGGGAGGGGGUAGGAAGACAUCGGAAUCUACUUUUUCGUGGGGGGUAACGUAGGGAAACUUACCCUAAUACCGCAUACGACCUACGGGUGAAAGCAGGGGAUCUUCGGACCUUGCGCGAGUGAAUGUGCCGACGUCGGAUUAGUUAGUUGGCGGGGUAAAGGCCCACCAAGGCGACGAACCGUAGCUGGUCUGAGAGGAGGAUCAGGCAGCCUGGAAGUGAGACACGGUACAGACUCCGACGGGAGGACGCAGUGGGGAAUCUUGGAGAAUGGAGGAGAGGCUGAUACAGCAAUACCGCGUGGAUGAAGAAGGACUUAGGGUUGUAGAGCGAAUUUGUUGGGAAAGAAAAGCAGCCGGUUAAGCGCGCGCUGUUAUGACGGUACCCGAAGAAUAAGCCCCGGCUAACUUCGUG
rnacentral:rRNA from 1 species